rnacentral:rRNA from 1 species
CCACCCUUUAAUGUUUGAUGUUCUAACGUUGACCCGUGAUCCGGGUUGCGGACAGUGUCUGGUGGGUAGUUUGACUGGGGCGGUCUCCUCCUAAAGAGUAACGGAGGAGCACGAAGGUUGGCUAAUCCUGGUCGGACAUCAGGAGGUUAGUGCAAUGGCAUAAGCCAGCUUGACUGCGAGCGUGACGGCGCGAGCAGGUGCGAAAGCAGGUCAUAGUGAUCCGGUGGUUCUGAAUGGAAGGGCCAUCGCUCAACGGAUAAAAGGUACUCCGGGGAUAACAGGCUGAUACCGCCCAAGAGUUCAUAUCGACGGCGGUGUUUGGCACCUCGAUGUCGGCUCAUCACAUCCUGGGGCUGAAGUAGGUCCCAAGGGUAUGGCUGUUCGCCAUUUAAAGUGGUACGCGAGCUGGGUUUAGAACGUCGUGAGACAGUUCGGUCCCUAUCUGCCGUGGGCGCUGGAGAACUGAGGGGGGCUGCUCCUAGUACGAGAGGACCGGAGUGGACGCAUCACUGGUGUUCGGGUUGUCAUGCCAAUGGCACUGCCCGGUAGCUAAAUGCGGAAGAGAUAAGUGCUGAAAGCAUCUAAGCACGAAACUUGCCCCGAGAUGAGUUCUCCCUGACUCCUUGAGAGUCCUGAAGGAACGUUGAAGACGACGACGUUGAUAGGCCGG